GUUUCAUGUAUAUGAGAUUAGGGUUAUUGAGUGUGACGAUUCAACUUUCUCUUCAGACUCUCUUCUCCCACCCGUCUCUCUCUUCCACACCGGCGAUUCCGCCGCGAACGCCGCCCUUACAUCGCCUUGAAUCACCAAUCCUCAAACGCGAACCCAACCUCAAAUCUGCCAUAGAUUUCUUGAUAAAGCCAACUGAAUGUUUAGAUUUUGCGUAACGUAAAGAAAACCUAGUUCUUCAAAACUUUGAUUAAACGGUGUUCCGGCACGUAAUCACGCGAUUGACAAAGGAUAACGCAUCCGCACCACAAGCAAAAUGUCAUGGCGAGAAGAUUCAACGAUAAGCAAGGAAUUAGAGCUACCUACCAACGGAACCGAGGUUCGUUCCGGACGUUGUUGAUGUCGAAGAUGCACGUAGAAGAUAAAGUCAGAGAUGAGGGCUGUAGCUUUCUUGGUGACGACGGUUGCUCGGAGUUGGAAGUGAAACUGCAGAUUAAAGUCCGAGACUGAAACUGUCACGAGGCUGGUGGUGUAUAUGUUGUAUGGUAUCUGGCUGCAGCAGGUUAAUGUGUUAGUAGGCCUGUGGCUGUCUUGCAGGAACAUAGUAAACUGUAAACCUAAUGAUGGGGCUGCUGCUGAUGUUGAAGCUGUUGUUAAUGUUGAGGCUGUUGCAGGUAUAGUUUUUGUUAAUAAAAACUAGUAGAAGACCCGUGCGUCCGCACGGGUAAAAGCAUUUGUAUAUCCUAAAUAAUUUAUUUUUAUUUGAAAUGUAAUAAAAGUUAAUGAAAAUUUAUUUA